AUGUCUUCCUUCGUGCGGAGCAGCACCACUACGGGUCCUCGGCCCGAGCUGCUACUCACCACCGACCAACGCCGACCCAGGGCAGGUCCUUGCCAGGUCCACCCUGCUCCGGCCACGACACCGGCAAGACCACUGCUGCAUCUGUACACCGCGUUGUUGCUUGUUGCAUGUCAAGACCGUCUCCGUGGAUUUACGCCAAGUACCAAUACCGCCAAGUACCUCUUCGCAAGACCAAGUACCUCUCCGAACGAACGUGAACGACUGUCGUCGCAAGAACGGGACCGGAAAGUCCGAAGACCCCAAGUACCAUGA
rnacentral:rRNA from 1 species